rnacentral:rRNA from 1 species
AGUUUGAUCAUGGCUCAGGAUGAACGCUGGCGGCGUGCCUAACACAUGCAAGUCGAGCGGAGGUUUAAGAGGUGCUUGCACCACUUAAACUUUAGCGGCGGACGGGUGAGUAACACGUGGGUAAUCUGCCUUAUACAGGGGAAUAACAAUGAGAAAUCAUUGCUAAAACCCCAUAAGCUCCCGCUGUCGCAUGACAGAGAGAGAAAAUAUUUAUAGGUAUAAGAGGAGCCCGCGUCUGAUUAGCUAGUUGGCAGGGUAACGGCCUACCAAGGCGACGAUCAGUAGCCGACCUGAGAGGGUGACCGGCCACAUUGGGACUGAGACACGGCCCAAACUCCUACGGGAGGCAGCAGUGGGGAAUAUUGCACAAUGGAGGGAACUCUGAUGCAGCAACGCCGCGUGAAGGAAGAAGGGUUUCGGCUCGUAAACUUCUAUCAACGGGGAAGAAAGAAAUGACGGUACCCGAAUAAGAAGCACCGGCUAACUACGUGCCAGCAGCCGCGGUAAUACGUAGGGUGCAAGCGUUAUCCGGAAUUACUGGGUGUAAAGGGUGAGUAGGCGGUAAGAUAAGUC